ACUUGAAACUUAUUAAUAAUAAUAAAUAAAUAAAAAGUCUCGUAAUCACGAGAUUUCUACAAUCUUCUUCUUGUAAACUUCACUACUGUCACUCGGCACUUACCCAGUUACCCUUUCUCUUCUCUGAGACCUUCUCUUUCUCUAUCCUCGAUUUCGGUGAGGAAUGGCGUCACUUCAUGCUACUUUGACGACAAUUUGGUGCAAGAAUGACAACCAUUCUGCGCAAUCAAUGCUGCCCAAGACUUCUUUCUUGCCUAGAUUUGAUAUGCUGGGAAAUGCUGCAGUUUCUCACAGCAAGGAAUUCCAUCCUAGCGCCUUGAGUUCAGGUCCUCAGGCCACUUUGACCUUUGAUCCACCAACCACAAAUACAAAUAGAACUAAACAAAAUAAGCAUACAGUCGACCCUUCUGCUCCUGACUUUCUUCCACUCCCAUCCUUUGAACAAUGUUUCCCAAAGAGCACAAAAGAAUGCAGGGAAGCUAUUCAUGAGGAAUCAGGUCAUGUUCUCAAGGUUCCCUUUCGGCGCAUCCAUCUAUCUGGGGAUGAACCCCAUUUUGACACCUAUGACACCAGUGGCCCUCAGAAUAUUAGUCCACAGAUUGGACUCCCCAAACUACGAAAGGAUUGGAUUGACAGGAGGGAGAAGUUAGGUCUACCGCGAUACACCCAAAUGUUCUACGCUAAGCAGGGAAUGAUAACUGAAGAAAUGCUGUUCUGUGCUGCUCGUGAGAACCUUGAUCCUGAAUUUGUGAGGUCAGAGGUUGCCCGUGGACGUGCAAUUAUCCCUUCCAACAAGAAGCAUUUAGAGUUGGAACCUAUGAUAGUUGGAAGAAACUUUUUGGUAAAAGUUAAUGCAAACAUUGGAAAUUCUGCUGUUGUCAGUUCAAUUGAAGAGGAAGUCCAUAAACUUCAAUGGGCAACAAUGUGGGGUGCAGACACAAUCAUGGAUCUGUCAACAGGUCGGCAUAUUCAUGAGACCCGUGAGUGGAUCCUACGCAAUUCUCCUGUACCAGUUGGUACAGUUCCUAUUUACCAAGCACUUGAGAAGGUGAAUGGCAUUGCUGAGAAUCUCAACUGGGAGGUUUUCAGGGAAACCUUGAUCGAACAAGCAGAGCAAGGUGUUGAUUACUUCACCAUCCAUGCAGGUGUUCUACUAAGGUAUAUCCCUCUAACAGCUAAGCGCAUGACCGGGAUUGUAUCACGUGGAGGAUCCAUUCAUGCAAAGUGGUGUUUAGCUUACCAUAAGGAGAAUUUUGCUUAUGAACAUUGGGAUGAAAUUCUCGAUAUCUGCAACCAAUAUGAUAUAGCAUUAUCAAUUGGGGAUGGCCUCAGGCCUGGGUCAAUCUAUGACGCCAAUGACACUGCCCAAUUUGCGGAGCUCUUAACUCAAGGAGAACUAACACGACGAGCCUGGAAAAAAGAUGUGCAGGUGAUGAAUGAGGGCCCUGGACACGUUCCAAUGCACAAGAUUCCUGAAAACAUGCAAAAACAGCUGGAAUGGUGUAAUGAAGCUCCCUUUUACACACUUGGUCCACUAACAACUGAUAUUGCACCUGGUUAUGAUCACAUAACCUCGGCCAUUGGUGCGGCCAAUAUUGGAGCUCUUGGUACUGCACUUUUAUGCUAUGUGACACCAAAAGAACAUCUUGGAUUGCCAAAUAGGGAUGACGUGAAAGCUGGGGUAAUAGCAUACAAAAUUGCUGCUCAUGCUGCUGAUCUGGCUAAAUGUCAUCCGCAUGCUCAAGAAUGGGAUGAUGCAUUGAGCAAAGCAAGAUUUGAGUUCAGAUGGUUGGACCAGUUUGCCCUAUCACUUGACCCUAUGACUGCCAUGUCCUUCCAUGAUGAAACCUUGCCAUCAGAGGGUGCCAAGGUAGCACAUUUUUGUUCUAUGUGUGGGCCUAAAUUCUGCUCUAUGAAGAUAACUGAAGAUGUACGCAAGUAUGCUGAGGAACAUGGUUAUGGUGAUGCUGAGGAAGCUGUAAGGGAAGGGAUGGAAGCUAUGAGUGCUCAGUUUCUGGCUGCUAAGAAAACUAUCAGUGGAGAACAACAUGGUGAAGCCGGGGGUGAGAUCUACUUGCCUCAGAGUUACGUAGAGUCUUUGAAGAGGUAGAAAUAAGUGGAGGCAGUGGCAUAGCUGAGCUGAGCUUAGCUUAGCCCUCCUUGAAGCCUCAGUGGAUGCAGAUUAAUAUAUUCGUGGACUUUUUCUCUGAGGUGGGGUGUCUGUCUCAGCUACAGCAUCUCGGUCUGUUUUGGCGGAAGAUGCUGGCGAGACAGGCUGAGAAAGUCCCUUUGAACCUGAACAGGAUAAUGCCUGCGUAGGGAGUGUGCAUUUUCUUUUCUUUUUGUUUUUUUUUCUUUGCGUGCUAACAGGGACAGAGCUUCCUAUAAAAAUGGGGCAGCUUGAUCUGGGUUACCUGGUUCGGUACUUGACCGAACCCAUCUCUGAAUCAGGUGGGUAGCAACCAAAUAUUAGCUAAAAUAACUGUUGGGUUCCAGUCCCCUGGCCCCUUCUGACUAAAUUAAUAAUACUCCAAAACAAGUGUUAUUUGCAGCAUUAUGCUGUGUAUUUAACACUAGGAACCCUUCUAAGUUCACAUCAUGUAAUCUUGGUUAUAGCGGCAAUGGCAACCCGGUUGCUUAUAUCUCUGAGCAUUAGUGUAAAAUAUUUCUGUGAAAGCUCAAGUAUAAUAUUUGAAGUGGAAAUUUUGGUUAGCUGAAGAAUUUAUUGAG